AUUGAACGCUGGCGGCAGGCCUAACACAUGCAAGUCGAACGAGUGGCGGACGGGUGAGUAAUGUCUGGGAAACUGCCUGAAGGAGGGGGAUAACUACUGGCAACGGUAGCUAAUACCGCUUACCAUCGGAUGGUCCCAGAUGGGAUUAGCUAGUAGGUGGGGUAAAGGCUCACCUAGGCGACGAUCCCUAGCUGGUCUGAGAGGAUGACCAGCGACACUGGAACUGAGGCACGGUCCCGACUCCGACGGGAGCGAGCAGUGGGGAAUAUUGCACAAGGGGCGCCAGCCAGAUGCAGCCAUGCCGCGUGUAUGAAGAAGGACUUCGGGUUGUAAAGUACUUUCAGCAGGGAGGCGUUACCCGCAGAAGAGGCACCGGCUAACUCCGUGCCAGCAGCCGCGGUAAUAC
rnacentral:rRNA from 1 species